GUGGGACGAGAGAACCCAGGGCUUUGUGCUGGCUGGCUUUUACUACGGCUACGCCACCACUCAGAUCGUGGGCGGUCGCCUGGCGGAGCUUUAUGGGACACGGUGGGUGUUUGGGACCUGCAUCCUGGCGGGAGGCAUUUGCACCGUCCUUUCCCCCAUCGCGGCUCGUACGCAUUACGGCAUCUUGAUUGCUCUCAGAGUUAUACAGGGAAUAUUUCAGGGCGCCUCUUGGCCGUCCAUGCACGCUUGUGUGGCCCGGUGGAUUCC